GCCUUGUUAGCUCAAUGGUAGAGCGUCAGAUUCUUACAGUCCCUCUGACCGGGAAGGCCGCAGGUUCGAUUCCUGUGCGAGGCA